UACGGAGGGUGCAAGCGUUAUCCGGAUUUACUGGGUUAAAGGGUGUCGUAGGUGGACCUUUAAGUCAGUGGUGAAAUCUCCGGGCUUAACCCGGAAACUGCCAUUGAUACUAUCGGUCUUGAAUACUUUGGAGGUAAGCGGAAUAUGUCAUGGUAGCGGUGAAAUGUCUUAGAUAUGACAUAGAACACCAAUUGCGAAGGCAGCUUACUACACAAAUAUUGACGCUGAGCACGAAAGCGUGGGGAGUCAAACAGGAAU
rnacentral:rRNA from 1 species